rnacentral:rRNA from 1 species
AUUGAACGCUGGCGGCAUGCCUUACACAUGCAAGUCGAACGGCAGCACGGGUGCUUGCACCUGGUGGCGAGUGGCGAACGGGUGAGUAAUACAUCGGAACAUGUCCUGUAGUGGGGGAUAGGCCGGCGAAAGCCGGAUUAAUACCGCAUACGAUCUACGGAUGAAAGCGGGGGACCUUCGGGCCUCGCGCUAUAGGGUUGGCCGAUGGCUGAUUAGCUAGUUGGUGGGGUAAAGGCCUACCAAGGCGACGAUCAGUAGCUGGUCUGAGAGGACGACCAGCCACACUGGGACUGAGACACGGCCCAGACUCCUACGGGAGGCAGCAGUGGGGAAUUUUGGACAAUGGGCGAAAGCCUGAUCCAGCAAUGCCGCGUGUGUGAAGAAGGCCUUCGGGUUGUAAAGCACUUUUGUCCGGAAAGAAAUCCUUGGCCCUAAUACGGUCGGGGGAUGACGGUACCGGAAGAAUAAGCACCGGCUAACUACGUG